UUUUAACCGCGGAGUGGGGUUGUACCAGAUUGUUAAAUGGUGGCAUUCAUUGGUGAACUCGAAGAUGGUUGGCCGGUCUGACUUCGAGGUUCCAGUAGGACCCAAUGGAUCACAGCGGAAACGAGCCUGGUAACGUAAAUACAGUAGGCCGUACUGGGCACGGACAUGCAAAGACGACCGUUAGUGUUUCAGCCUUUCAGGUUACCACCUCCUGCAU
rnacentral:lncRNA from 1 species